AACACGUACACCAUGGAAAAAAAUAGCUCUAUUGGAAACAGGCCCAACAAUUGGCCCAGCACGAGAGAAGUCGCCAGCCUCCGUCACGAGAGAAGUCGCCAGCCUCUGUCAACAUCUCGUUCUCCCUGGAGCGUGACCGCCGCCGCCAUCGCGCCAUCCCGUCGGCGUCGUCCUGCGCGGACCGCAACCGCCGCCUCCGUCGACACCCUCGCCAGCCUCCGUCGCGUGACCGCCGCCGCCAUCGCGGUAUCCCAUCGGCGUCGUCCUACGCGGAGCGCAACCGCCGCCUCCGUCGACACCCUCGAGAUCCCGUCAUCCCGCGUGGAGACCGCUGCCGCCAUCGACACCCCGUCCUCCUGCAUCUAGGGCGACCGCCGCCAUCGACUCCACGCCAUCCUGCAUCGUGGGCGGCCGCCGCCACCAGCGGAUCGGCCCGGUCCUGCAUCGCCGACACCAGGUGGUAUGUGAUUUGAAGCAAAAGGUGUUGCUGUGUCGUCUUCCGAAGGUGGCUGUCUUCCCAACGUGUGAUGAUUCUGGUACAUGGAUGUGGCGAUGUUCUGAUAAGGUUUUAGGCUUAGCUCUGAAACACCAAACACAUUUGCUUAUUUGCUUAUUUGGAAUGUCAGUUACAUAUGUGUUCAGUGUCAACUCUUUUCUGUAAUAUGAUACCUAGAAACAAAAAAGGGUUUUUAUCUGAUGCAAUGGUUGUCUGAAA